rnacentral:SRP_RNA from 13 species
CUGACAAACCGCCCAGAGGCGAAAUCGAGCAGCCGUGCGCAGUGAUCUACGUG